AAUUGCUGGGGCAGCAGGCUCUGGACAGCGAGCCUGCCGUGCCGCCCCAGUGAGUUGUGUGGGUCCUCGGCACUUCUGGAAGUUGUUUUUCUUGUGGUGACUCUGUGCACAUUCUUGAAGCAAAGGAGUUUGUUCUUGCCCACAGUGUCCCUCCCCGGCAUUGUUGAGUGGAAAACUCUUAUGCUAAUUAUAUCACUGUCUGUUAUCAAUAAGAAGUGAUUUAAUUUCUUUGGCAAAGUGUUGCAACAAGAGCAAAUUAGAUUGAGAGGCAAAGUGAAAUAAAAAAUAUGCAGCUGUUCUGCCAAACAAUGAUCCUGACUGUUCACAACAUUUUGUUUUAGACUGCCUUGUACACAGAAUCCUUUAUAUUGAAGGUUUUCAAGUCACAAUCCACUGCUUGUGCAAGGAAACUAGAUUAAUAGAUUAUAAGAGACAAAAGAGACCAAGGUUCAUCUGGUUCAGCUUCCUGCAUUAUGCAGGUCUCUGGAUUUUUGUGAAUAUUUUGCUUUUUCUCAUUUGAAAGAAUUUAACUGCAGCAUAGCUGCAUCUUAGAUCAGAUUUUCAUUUUCAAAUGGGCUGUGAAAGGGAGUAAAAUAAGACUGAAUUGUUUCCAUCAAAAAUCUACCUGACAGACUAGAAAUCAAAGUACCUUUUUAAACUUGUCUAGUUUCUGCUUUUCAUUUUCUGGAUGUGUCUGUCCCUCAGUCUCCUUGGCAGAGGAAUGCUCCAUGACCAGAUUUCCAUCCCCUCAUAGCUUUGUGCAGGCUGAGCAUUUAGACACUCCAUUGCAGGCUGCAGAGCUCCCCCUCGGGUCCGUCUUUGCUAAUCCUGUAAUUGUUCCUGCUCCAGUUUGUCACCAUUUUGAUCUGGGCGGAAGGGGACGGAGCCAUCGGCAGUGACCAUGCCCGAGCCAACAGCCCUCCUGGCUCAGAUGUGUCUGUCAGGCAUCCAGGGAUUACACCAGCCCAUGUUCAGCUGGUUUCCCAGCAGGGCUGCUAAAAUACUCUCAGAUCUGCUCCUUCUUAGGAUGACAACCCUGUACUGUAGGAUUGUGCUCUUUGUUUUGCAUGUUUACUCUGGUCCUCUUGAAAACCCUUGGACAGUGUUGUUGCUUGCAAUGGCCUUUUUUAAUUUUUAUUUGAUAUUCCCUCCUGAUACUGCUGAGUGUCACCUACAAACUUGGUUGGUCAUGAUUUUAUAUUUUCUUCCAGAUAAACAACCUAUCUGCACUGUGGGUGUUUCCUGGUUCCGGGUAUGUGUACGCACACCUCAGCAGUGUCAAUAUUGUGUCAGGAGGAGGUCUGGUUGCACACCAUCCCUUGCCACACCCCAGUUGCAUGGGAAGAAAGCCCAGUUUAGGAGCUGGAAGGGAGCCAGAGGCACACUGCAACAUUUGCCUGCCCUGGUGUCUAUUAUGUAGCCAUUAAAUAAUGCAGAGCACAAAACAGGUGGUUGCAGGACCCAUAAAAGAAAGAUGAGAGGUCUGGGGCAGCGUGGUUACAAAGUACAUUUUGAGACCUUCCUGUUUAGAUGGGUUUUUUAGAGGUGCUGCCUUAUUACAUACUCUCUAUCCAGCAAUUCAUUCAAGACCUAAGUACAUUAAGGACUUCUUCCCCCCUGCCAAAUUUGAUUGGGAGUGGAGGAAGGAAGGGGGAAAAUGACAUAUAGCAAUACAGUCGCAUUAGGCAGUUUUAUUUUUAGGAAACCAGGCUAAGAAUAUCAAAGGAAUAUUGAGUAGGAAUAUGGACAGGGUAUUUGCCUGUUCAGAUUUUCUUGCCAUGAAAUUUUUCAUUCCUUCCUUAGAACAACAGAUGAUCCGUCUAGGGAAUUGUCAGCCAAAAUAAGCAACCUGCUGACAGAUUUCACCUGUGUCCCAGCAUGCUCUGAGGAUGCAUGGGAUGUGAGCCUUGAACAAUGACAGGGAAUCACUAGGCUGUGUUGUUUGGCUGCCGGGGUGCAGAGAUGCGUGGUGACACCCAACAGUGGAACAAACAUUUACUGUGUUUAAGAUCCAGACAAAUUUUGAUGGAUGUGUUGGCUAUUUGCCAGAGCUGAGGGGGUUUUUUGUUACUUUUUAAACUGUAUGUGUUCAUAUUAUUUCUGCUAGUAUUAUGACAAAGCUACCUCUGUAAGGUACGGAGUGAGUGCUUUCAGAGAUCUGAUCUUUCUUGAGCUAUAAAGGAAUAAAGAAGCUGUUUCAACACCUGA